rnacentral:rRNA from 1 species
UACGGCGGGUGCAAGCGUUGUCCGGAAUCACUGGGCGUAAAGGGCGCGUAGGCGGCUCAUGAAGUCUGUGGUGAAAGUCCGGGGCUCAACCUCGGAUCGGCCGUGGCGACUCGUGGGCUGGAGCACUGUAGAGGCGGGUGGAAUUCCGGGUGUAGCGGUGGAAUGCGUAGAGAUUCGGAAGAACACCAGUGGCGAAGGCGGCCCGCUGGGCAGUGGCUGACGCUGAGGCGCGACAGCGUGGGGAGCAAACAGG